GUCAGCGGCUUCCUGCCUCUUUGUUUUUUAAUUUACUUAGAGUUGGGCAGCAGAGAUGGCAGGAGAGGAAGCAGAUGGCUCAGCAUGACAGAUGGGAUCCUAUCCAGUGACACAAGGACAAGGUGAGGAGAAAGCGUGAUCAAAAGAAAGCGCAGCCCCAGUGCGAGAGUGCACUGCUUGAGCUCCCGUGCCAGGACGGCAGCACUGCAGCCGGCCUGCCAGCCUCCAGGGCGCAGGCUGGCACCUCUCAGGGCUGGGGCUCCAGACCUUCAGCCAACAGUGGGGACACUGAGGCUGGGAGAGUGACUGCAGCCUGCCUGGAGUCACCCAGUCAGCCAUUCACAGAGCUGGGACUAGAACCUGGGACUGGGUUUGAAGAGGGCAGCUCCUGUCCCACCUCUGUCCAACCUCCUGAGGAGGAUGGCAGAUGAGUUUGCUCCACUUGAGGAUACAGAGCACCCCGGCAGCAGGAGGAGAAGCAGCCAGAGCCUGAGGGGAAACCUGCCUCCAUUCUCCUCUCCAACUCUUUGUUUCUCAUCCUGGUGGAGUCAGAGAGGUUCCCAAGUGGAAGCUGCACCCGGCAUCUCAUCAGUGAGGGCCCCAGUUAGCAGGAACAUCAAAGGUAGAAAUGCUGGAACCUGAAAAAAAGAAUGCUCUGUCCAGCUUGAAAGAAGCAUUCUACUGAAGUGUGGUGAUAAGAUCCGGAUUAGAAUCAGCAUUGAUGGAUCAUAGAAGGAUUAAAGUGACAGGGUCCCAAAUCUUCACAAAACGUUUGCAGAUUUGUUUGUUUGGGUUUUUUCCAAGGACUUUAUCUUCCUUGCUUUAAUGUUUAUCCUUGGCUGUCUUAAUAAGGAGUGGUAUGGAAAACCCUUGUGAUGCCUCCUCCAAGUGAACUAGAUCCACCAGUUCUCAUCAUGCAGCCCUCUGCUGCUGUGGGGGGAGGGGGUGGGCAGCUUGCUCUAAUUAUAGGAAACACUCCUGGGAGAAAACACACCCUUUGCACACAGAAUCCUGCAAAGGGAAUGUACAUUCCUCUCUAUUCUUUGGUACAAUCUCUCCCAGGGUUGCUUUUUAGAUGGCAUUGUGCCUCCCUUGUUCCCCACUUUUCUUGUCCAAGGAUGCCAUCCUUGAUUAAGCCCACCUUUCUCAUAGAAGGAAAAACGGGGGAUUGUCCGGGAAGGAUCCCAUGUUAGGCUUUGUAUGAAAGCCCAUCACUCCUAUUAACACUGUGACUUUGACCUCAAUUGGCCCAGGCUCUUCCUGUUCCUCAAGGAGAGGGAAGCAAGUGCACUGGGGAAGAUCAGCCCUGGCUUCACUGCAAACUCAUCAUAGGACCUUGGGCAAGGCCCUUCCUGUGUCUGGGCCUCAGUUUGCCAAACGGUGCAAGAAAGAGCCUCAAAGACUGUAACAGAGGCCAGCUCCAAAGGCCUCUUUGGUACUCUCUGGCUCUAAAAUUAAAUUUUCUCAAGUGAGAAAAGAGGAAAGGAAGCUGAUGAGAGGAUAGAAGGGAGCUUUCCACCCUGGAGGCAGGAGGUAGAGGUGGAGAGGCUGAAUUAAAGCCAUAAAGAGAAAAUAGGGAGGCACCGGCCUGUCUCCCCCACCACACACACAAAGGAUCCUGCACACAGAGCAGGUCCUUAGGAAAAGCCACUGGCUGCAUAAGCCGCUUUGGCUGCUGCCUCUGUUAAGGAAGCAUCUCCAGAGAACUGUUUCUAGUCUGUCUGAGCAGGGAGAACCUUGAAGGGUCCUGGAGAAGGGAACGGACUGAGCCGGGGUUUCACAGUGAGCAGGUGGGAGGCAGGACUUGCAAGCACCCUGGCCUCCUGCCUGCAGACUUAUGCAGUCUCCAGUGCCCCAUGGCCAAAUAUUCUUGCACUGUCUUCCUUGGAUCUUUCCUAUGAUUUGUGCACAUACUGCAGUGAAAAUGGCAAAGAGAGAUCCUGCAGGGAUUGGUAAUUUUUCACCGUGGGUGGCACUGAGACUUCCCUGUUCCCUGGAGGAGGGAAAUGAAGAGUUGAUUAAGUACUCGAAACAUCCCUGCCUGUGGACUAUUUAAUAAGCGCCUCGCCUGUCUCUCAGCCAUAGAGCAGACAUUUGGUUCGCUAAUCCAAUUUGGCAAGCCUCUCCCAGGCUGCAAACGCUAGCUGCUGGGCGCCAUUUUGUCUGAUGUGUUAGAAAUCAAUGCAGGCUCCCUGCACUUGCUCUCACUACUGCUUGACUGAUUACUAACGAGACCUCUCCCUUGCACAAGUCACCGACAGAGAACCCCUCUGUGUUCCAAGAAGCUCUGGGGACCUGGUGAUCAUCCAGUCAUCCCCCUGAUUCUCUUAGCAAGGAAUCUGAAUAAAUCAGCAAAAGCAGGUGUGGGACUGCAAAAUGUUUUCUUCCUCAACUGAACCAAGCUAUGUUUUCCACUUAGCAGGAGGAAGUCUGUAAGAAGGACAAUAUUUUAGUAUCUUCCAUAAAAACCACAACAAUGGCAUUUUCAUUUUGAUAUGUGAUAGCUCUUACUCGGACGCAGAAUUAGUGCUCGGUGCAUCUGUUUCUUUCAACCAACAAGAGCUCUGUUAGUAAGGUUUCUCUUUGCCUUGGCCACCAGGAAGCUUGGAUAUAAAUGCUGGUUCAUAGUUUGAGAUGCAGGCAUAUUUCUGCACACUCAGUGAGCUUUCUCACUUCCUUUUUAAUAAACAUUUUAAAGUCCUAUAUCAUAUGUGUUCCUUUAAAAAAAUAAAUGUGAAUUUAUCAUUUUUCACUACAAACUUGCCUUAAGCUGUUGGAAAGUUCCCUUCUUUCCUUUUUAUAGAGAACACUCUUGGAAAAGGAAGAUAGAGUGAAUGUUUAUUUUUUGCCUCCAUAAUAUUAGCUCCUCACAAGGCACAACCAGGAUCUUCCUAUGGGGUCCAGCACCUCACUCUUAGUCUAGUUGUUCUGGGCACUUUUCUACUCUCUGGCCUAGCAGUGGACAUUGUACUUCUUGGGCCAUGGUGAUGGGGUUUAAGUGACACCUUAACGUAAGGUGGUCCAAUAGCAAACAUCAGAAUUUCUGCUGGAAAAUGCUAGGCAAAGAUUUCUAUCCUUUUCUGCAGGGUCUGAACGUAAAAAGACACAGGCUUAGGGACUGCUAAAAGCCAUUUUGUGACCAAAAGGGAAAAGCCUGUCUGAAAAUGAGUCAACCUUGAGGAGGAGGAACUGAGAGACAGAAACAGAGGUGCAUCCUGACAUUACUUGAGCGCCUAUAUCAAGUUAAUCCUGAAGUUUGACAGUGCAGGGAUAUGAGAGCCAAUACAUUGACUUUGGGUCUGGUUUCCAGUGACUUACAG
rnacentral:lncRNA from 10 species